AUUGAACGCUGGCGGCGUGCCUAACACAUGCAAGUCGAGCGGUAACAGGUGUAGCAAUACAUGCUGACGAGCGGCGAACGGGUGAGUAAUGCUUCGGAAUCUACCUUAUGGUGGGGAAUAACUAGCCGAAAGGUUAGCUAAUACCGCAUACGUCCUACGGGAGAAAGCAGGGGAUCGUAAGACCUUGCGCCAAAAGAUGAGCCGAAGUCGGAUUAGCUAGUUGGUAGGGUAACGGCCUACCAAGGCGACGAUCCGUAGCUGGUCUGAGAGGACGACC
rnacentral:rRNA from 1 species